GCUAACAUGGUGGUUUCAGUCAGCUGACA
rnacentral:piRNA from 1 species